rnacentral:rRNA from 1 species
CCUACGGGAGGCAGCAGUGAGGAAUAUUGGUCAAUGGACGAGAGUCUGAACCAGCCAAGUAGCGUGAAGGAUGACUGCCCUAUGGGUUGUAAACUUCUUUUAUGUGGGAAUAAAAUGUUCCACGUGUGGGCUUUUGUAUGUACCAUAUGAAUAAGGAUCGGCUAACUCCGUGCCAGCAGCCGCGGUAAUACGGAGGGUCCGGGCGUUAUCCGGAUUUAUUGGGUUUAAAGGGAGCGUAGGGGGAUUGUUAAGCCAGUUGUGAAAGUUUGCGGCUCAACCGUAAAAUUGCAGUUGAAACUGGCAGUCUUGAGUACAGGAGAGGUAUGCGGAAUUCGUGGUGUAGCGGUGAAAUGCUUAGAUAUCACGAAGAACUCCGAUUGCGAAGGCAGCAUACUGGACCGCAACUGACGCUGAAGCUCGAAAGUGUGGGUAUCAAACAGGAUUAGAUACCCGUGUAGUC